UACGAAGGGGGCUAGCGUUGUUCGGAAUUACUGGGCGUAAAGCGCACUUAGGCGGAUUAGUAAGUCAGGGGUGAAAUCCCGGGGCUCAACCUCGGAACUGCCUUUGAUACUGCUGAUCUCGAGUCCGGAAGAGGUGAGUGGAAUUCCUAGUGUAGAGGUGAAAUUCGUAGAUAUUAGGAAGAACACCAGUGGCGAAGGCGGCUCACUGGGCCGGUACUGACGAUGAGGUGCGAAAGCGUGGGGAGCAAACAGG
rnacentral:rRNA from 1 species